UACGAAGGGGGCUAGCGUUGCUCGGAAUCACUGGGCGUAAAGGGUGCGUAGGCGGCCUUACAGGUCAGCUGUGAAAACUCGAGGCUCAACCUCGAGACGUCGGUUGAAACCGUAUGGCUAGAGUCCGGAAGAGGAGAGUGGAAUUCCCGGUGUAGCGGUGAAAUGCGCAGAUAUCGGGAAGAACACCCGUGGCGAAGGCGGCUCUCUGGGACGGUACUGACGCUGAGACGCGAAAGCGUGGGGGAGCGAACAGG
rnacentral:rRNA from 1 species